rnacentral:lncRNA from 1 species
AUUACCAAUUGUCCAUGGUCUCAGGGUCAAAGGAAAUUCUGAAUGCUCAACUGCAAUCAAUUGGAUCUAAAAGAAAUGAAAUCCUUCGAUUUUUAAAUUUGAUUUUUAGACAUGUGGUGAGCACACAUGUACCAGGUAGGCUGUACUGGAUGCUGAGGUUCCAUAAUCUCUGCCCUCGAGGAGCUCAAUGUCUAGCAGGAGAACCAGAAAGAGACAUUGUCUUGCUCUGUCACCAAGGCUGGAAUGCAGUGGCCAUCACAGCUCACUGUAACCUCAAACUCCAGGACUCAAGCAAUCCUCCUACCUCAGCCUCCUGAGUAGUUGGGACUAUAGGUGCAUGCCACCACACGUGGCACUUUUUUUUUUUUUUUUUUUUGAGACAGAAUCUUGCUCUGUCAUCCAGCCUGGAGUGCAGUGGCACGAUUUCAGCUCACUGCAACCUCCACUUCCUGGGUUCAAGCGAUUCUCUUGCCUCAGCCUCCCGAGUAGCUGGGAUUACAGGCAUGCGCCACCACACCCGCCUAAUUUUUGUAUUUUUAGUAGAGAUGAAAUUUCGCCAUGUUGGCCAGGCUGGUCUCGAACUCCUGAGCUCAGGCAAUCCGCCCACCUUAGCCCAAAGUGCUGGGAUUAUAGGCAUGAGCCACUACACCUGGCCACACGUGGCUAAUUUUUAAAAGUGUUUUGUAGAGGUAGGGCCUCAUUAUGCUGCCCAGGCUCAUCCUGAACUUCUAGCCUCAAAUGAUCCUCCCAUCUCAGCCUCCCAGAAGUGCUGGGAUUACAGGCAGGAGCCACCAUACCUGGCUGUAGUUCACUGACUCUUGAGGAAAGCCUGCACCUUGCACACAGUGGAUACUUGGUAAAUAUGCGUUAAAUGAAUGGUUAAGUACAAGCAGGGCAGGUGAGACCUUGUGCCAAUAUUUAUUACCCGUUAGGAAGAGUUGAUUAGGAGUCCCCCAGUUUCAAAGGCAGGAUUAAGAGUGAGAGAAAGUGAGUUCGUGAAAGAGGAGACCAAAGUGGAGUGACCUACAGAGGAAAUAAGUGAGAGAGAUUUGGAAAAAAUAUCACAUGACAUGACCACAUUUUGGAAUAGCUCAGAUCAAACUGUAGUAAGGAAGAAAAAAAAAUUAUGACUGGAACAAAAAUGGGGGCUCUUGUUUUCACUGAAGAGUCUUUUACAAUGCUAAUGAAUUUUCACUGAAAUAGUUGCUGAUGAUUAAGUGAAAAUACUGGGAAAGUAGCAUGUGAUUGGGUCAAUUAACUUUAGGAUGGAUGGAGGCAAACUGUGUCAUCUGUUAUUAAGAUAGAACUACGGAAGUAAUUGCUGCCCCCCAGACUCUCACGAUGACCUCAAAGUUAGAAGUCAAUAUGAAUUAGGUGGGUGGUCAGAAUCUUGCCCCAUAUUUAGUGAGCUAGUUGGGAAAACAGGAACAGAGAGUACUCCUUUUGGCCAGAAGGUGGAGCAUGGUGAGUGAGAAACACCAUGUAACCUUGAAAAGCAAUCGUAAUUUAUCUGGCCACAAACGGUAUUUCAAAUGCAUCGCAAAGCAAGAAAGAAGUUCUUUCUUGUUAAGCAAAUAUAAAUAGCCUGGCUUAUAUUUUGCUUGUUUAUUUCUACAUUCGGAAAUCAGGUAAUUUUCCCCUCUUUCUUUAUAACAACAUUGUUUUUUCAUUAAGACCAAGGACAGGAACCCAGCAUUUUUGAGUGGCUGCAAAAUAAAUAAGCUCCUACUGAAUCCAAGGGGGGAAAAAACUAAAGUGGAAAUAGAUGCUGGCUGACUGCCACAUGUUCCUGGUUCGUGCUGGAAUUGGAUUGAAGUGUACUGCCUCAGAUUCUUUUUAGAAGUGGGUAAAGUAUAACUCAUGUGUAAAUAUGUCCCAGGUGAGAAAGGAAAGCAUAUUUCAGGCCAAAGCAUCCUGGAACAUGCAACACAAAUAGGGCUUGGUCUUUGGCUAUACAUAUAAAACUUGGAUGGAAUGCAAAUCUUUCGCUAGGUUCUGUAUGUUUCUUGGAAUGUCGCAAUAAUGAGACCCAAUGUUCAGCUAUCUGACUGCUGAAAUUGGCAGCCAUUUCUGGGAAGCCUUUUUGGAAGAUAUUGUCUGUCUGAUGGAUGAAAUUUCUAGGGAACUACAAUUUGCCAAUAUUAACCUCAAUAGAUUUUCAUAAAAUAAUAGAAAUUAUUGUUAAAGAGCUCCUACUGCCAUCUUCUCAAACAUAAAAGCUCCAGGGCCAGAUGACUGUCAUAGAGGAAUUCUACCAAGCUUUUCAAGAGUAAAUUAUUCUAAUGCUAUUUUAACUGUUCUGGAGCAUAGAAGAUGAAAGAAAACUUUCAAAAACUUCUUAUGAAUUAAGUGUAACACUGAUACUGACAAAGAUUGCCCCCAAAAUAAAACUAUUAGUUCAAUGCCACUUGUAAAUAUCAAUGCAAAAGGUGUAAGUAAAAUAACAGGAAGUAAUUCAAUGUCACAUAAAAGGAAAUGGGUUUGAUUUGAGAAAUAUAAAGAUUGUUCAACAUUGGUAAAUCUAUGAAUGUAAUCAAUCAUUGUAAUUAAUCCAAGGAGAAAAAUAAUUUGAUUGUAUUAAAAAAUGUUAAAACAAUCAUUCAGGAGAUUAAACAACUAAUAUUGAUUUAAAAAAAUACACUC